rnacentral:rRNA from 1 species
AACGAACGCUGGCGGCAUGCCUAACACAUGCAAGUCGAACGAGAUCUUCGGGUCUAGUGGCGCACGGGUGCGUAACGCGUGGGAAUCUGCCCUUUGGUUCGGAAUAACAGUUGGACACGACUGCUAAUACCGGAUGAUGACGAAAGUCCAAAGAUUUAUCGCCAGAGGAUGAGCCCGCGUAGGAUUAGCUAGUUGGUGUGGUAAAGGCGCACCAAGGCGCCGAUCCUUAGCUGGUCUGAGAGGAUGAUCAGCCACACUGGGACUGAGACAAGGCCCAGACUCCUACGGGAGGCAGCAGUGGGGAAUAUUGGACAAUGGGCGAAAGCCUGAUCCAGCAAUGCCGCGUGAGUGAUGAAGGCCUUAGGGUUGUAAAGCUCUUUUACCCGGGAUGAUAAUGACAGUACCGGGAGAAUAAGCUCCGGCUAACUCCGUGCCAGCCGCCGCGGUAA